rnacentral:rRNA from 1 species
AUUGAACGCUGGCGGCAUGCCUUACGCAUGCAAGUCGAACGGUAACAGGUCUUCGGAUGCUGACGAGUGGCGAACGGGUGAGUAAUACAUCGGAACGUGCCUAGUAGUGGGGGAUAACUACUCGAAAGAGUGGCUAAUACCGCAUGAGAUCUACGGAUGAAAGCAGGGGAUCGCAAGACCUUGUGCUACUAGAGCGGCCGAUGGCAGAUUAGGUAGGUGGUGGGAUAAAAGCUUACCAAGCCGACGAUCUGUAGCUGGUCUGAGAGGACGAUCCGCAACACUGGGACUGAGACACGGCCCAGACUCCUACGGGAGGCAGCAGUGGGGAAUUUUGGACAAUGGGCGAAAGCCUGAUCCAGCAAUGCCGCGUGCAGGAUGAAGGCCUUCGGGUUGUAAACUGCUUUUGUACGGAACGAAAAGCCCCGGGUUAAUACCCUGGGGUCAUGACGGUACCGUAAGAAUAAGCACCGGCUAACUACGUGCCAGCCGCCACGGUAA